rnacentral:rRNA from 1 species
GACGAACGCUGGCGGCGUGCUUAACACAUGCAAGUCGAACGGAAAGGCCCUGCUUUUGUGGGGUUCUCGAGUGGCGAACGGGUGAGUAACACGUGAGUAACCUGCCCUUGACUUUGGGAUAACUUCAGGAAACUGGGGCUAAUACCGGAUAGGAGCUCCUGCUGCAUGGUGGGGGUUGGAAAGUUUCGGCGGUUGGGGAUGGACUCGCGGCUUAUGAGCUUGUUGGUGGGGUAGUGGCUGACCAAGGCUUGGACGGGUAGCCGGCCUGAGAGGGUGACCGGCCACAAUGGGACUGAGAUACGGACCAGACGCCUACGGGAGGCAACAGGGGGGAAUAUGGCACAAUGGGCGGAAGCCUGAUGCAGCAACGCCGCGUGCGGGAUGACGGCCUUCGGGUUGAAAACCGCUUUCGCCUGUGACGAAGCGUGAGUGACGGUAAUGGGUAAAGAAGCACCGGCUAACUACGUG